GAAAAAUGCGUGCAAUUAAAUCAUAUCCUCCUAGCUAAUACUUUGCAUCUUUCAUGUGCUUCGGGUGCAACAUAAGGGGAUCGGAAUACUGGUCUCGGAAACGACCCGGGAAACUGCAGUGGUUUACUCGGUCAAAAACCUAACCGAGGUGAAGGAAUUUCUAGAGAUGUUGAUCCAAGAGGCUGAGUCAAGAGGCAAAGCAGUUUCUCCAUCUACCAAUGCAAAGAAAGAAGCUUCUUCUCCCUCUAAAAACUCUUCAAUGAUGACACGUGAUCCAGCAGAACCAAAAGAAGCCUCAUCUGAAGUCAUAGCAACUACUAAACCCUUCCCAGCAGACAAUAUCCAUCAGCUUUAACAACUAUAGGGGCUUGAUCCUUUACGUAUUGUUUAGCAUCCGCAGGGUUGGUGAAUGUCUGAUAGACUGAUACUGCACAUGCAGAACACAAGUACUCAGUUUGAAUUGUAACACGCUUCACAGAAGGAAGUAGCCAACGGGUCCACUGAACCCUAGCCACGAUUACGAAGUUUACUCUGAUGGAAGAGUAAAGACCAUCAGGUGUCCGAGAAACGGGCCCACAACCAAUCUUAGAAUAUUGGUUAUUGGGUCAUCUGCUAAAUGAAGGCCAAUCAAGCAUGUUCCUGGCAA